GAUGAACGCUGGCGGCGUGCUUAACACAUGCAAGUCGAACGGAAAGGCCCAAGCUUUCUUGGGUGCUCGAGUGGCGAACGGGUGAGUAACACGUGGGUGAUCUGCCCUGCACUUCGGGAUAAGCCUGGGAAACUGGGUCUAAUACCGGAUAGGAGCUCCUCCUGGAUGUUGUGGGUGAAAGUUUUUUGGGUGUGGGAUGAGCUCUCGGCCUAUCUGCUUGUUUGUGGGGUAUUGGCCUAACAAGGGGUGUGCGGGUGGGCGGCCCGGGAGGGGGUACGGGCAAAUUGGGGACGAGGAAACGGCCAGACUCCUAACGGGGGGAGGAGGUGGGAAAUAUGGACAAUGGGCGGAAGCCUGAUGCAGGCAAGCCGGGGGGCGGAAGAAGGGCUUCCGGUUGGUAACCCGCUUCGGUAGGGAAGAAGGGGUUUGUGACGGUAACGGGUGAAGAAGCACCGGCUAACUACGUG
rnacentral:rRNA from 1 species